GACGAACGCUGGCGGCGUGCUUAACACAUGCAAGUCGAACGGAAAGGCCCUGCUUUUGUGGGGUGCUCGAGUGGCGAACGGGUGAGUAACACGUGAGUAACCUGCCCUUGACUUUGGUAUAACUUCAGGAAACUGGGGCUAAUACCGUAUAGGAGCUCCUGCUGCAUGGUGGGGGUUGGAAAGUUUCGGCGGUUGGGGAUGGACUCGCGGCUUAUCAGCUUGUUGGUGGGGUAGUGGCUUACCAAGGCUUUGACGGGUAGCCGGCCUGAGAGGGUGACCGGCCACAUUGGGACUGAGAUACGGCGCAGACGCCUACGGGAGGCAGCAGUGGGGAAUAUUGCACAAUGGGAGGAAGCCUGAUGCAGAAACGCCGCGUGCGGGAUGACGGCCUUCGGGUUGUAAACAGCUUUCGCCUGUGACGAAGCGUGAGUGACGGUAAUGGGUAAAGAAGCACCGGCUAACUACGUG
rnacentral:rRNA from 1 species